AACGAACGCUGGCGGCAUGCCUAACACAUGCAAGUCGAACGAGACCUUCGGGUCUAGUGGCGCAAGGGUGCGUAACGCGUGGGAACCUGCCCUUAGGUUCGGAAUAACUCCCCGAAAGGGGUGCUAAUACCGGAUAAUGUCUUCGGACCAAAGAUUUAUCGCCUUUGGAUGGGCCCGCGUUGGAUUAGCUAGUUGGUAGGGUAAAAGCCUACCAAGGCGACGAUCCAUAGCUGGUCUGAGAGGAUGAUCAGCCACACUGGGACUGAGACACGGCCCAGACUCCUACGGGAGGCAGCAGUGGGGAAUAUUGGACAAUGGGCGAAAGCCUGAUCCAGCAAGGCCGCGUGAGUGAUGAAGGCCUUAGGGUUGUAAAGCUCUUUUACCCGGGAUGAUAAUGACAGUACCGGGAGAAUAAGCUCCGGCUAACUCCGUG
rnacentral:rRNA from 1 species